UACGGAGGGUGCAAGCGUUGUCCGGAUUCACUGGGUUUAAAGGGUCCGCAGGCGGAUUAUUAAGUCAGUGGUGAAAGCCUACAGCUUAACUGUAGAACUGCCAUUGAUACUGAUAAUCUUGAGUACAGACGAGGUGGGCGGAAUUUAUGAUGUAGCGGUGAAAUGCAUAGAUAUCAUAAAGAACACCAAUUGCGAAGGCAGCUCACUAGACUGUAACUGACGCUCAUGGACGAAAGCGUGGGGAGCGAACAGG
rnacentral:rRNA from 1 species